UACGUAGGGGGCUAGCGUUGUCCGGAAUCAUUGGGCGUAAAGCGCGUGUAGGCGGUCCGGUAAGUCCGCUGUGAAAGUCGGGGGCUCAACCCUCGGAUGCCGGUGGAUACUGUCGGGCUUGAGUACGGAAGAGGCGAGUGGAAUUCCCGGUGUAGCGGUGAAAUGCGCAGAUAUCGGGAGGAACACCAAUGGCGAAGGCAGCUCGCUGGGACGUGACUGACGCUGAGACGCGAAAGCGUGGGGAGCAAACAGG
rnacentral:rRNA from 1 species